rnacentral:rRNA from 1 species
AGCGAACGCUGGCGGCGUGCCUAACACAUGCAAGUCGAACGUGAAAAGGGAAACCUGAGUAAAGUGGCGUACGGGUGAGUAACGCGUAGGUAAUCUACCCCAGAAUCUGGAAUAACCUGCCGAAAGGCGGGCUAAUACUGGAUAGAGCGAGGGAACUCGUAAGAGAGUUUUUCGGGAAAGGGAGCCCGCAAGGGCCUUCGUUCUGGGAUGAGCCUGCGUCUCAUUAGCUAGUUGGUAAGGUAACGGCUUACCAAGGCGAUGAUGAGUAGCUGGUCUGAGAGGAUGAUCAGCCACACUGGAACUGAAACACGAUCCAGACUCCUACGGGAGGCAGCAGUGGGGAAUCUUGCGCAAUGGACGAAAGUCUGACGCAGCCACGCCGCGUGAGUGAAGAAGGCCGUCGGGUUGUAAAGCUCUGUCGGAUGGGACGAACAUCUUCAUAGUGAAUAGCUAUGAGGACUGACGGUACCACCAAAGGAAGCACCGGCUAACUCCGUG